rnacentral:rRNA from 1 species
CGCGCGUAGGUGGUUAAUUAAGUCAAAUGUGAAAUCCCCGAGCUUAACUUGGGAAUUGCAUUCGAUACUGGUUAGCUAGAGUAUGGGAGAGGAUGGUAGAAUUCCAGGUGUAGCGGUGAAAUGCGUAGAGAUCUGGAGGAAUACCGAUGGCGAAGGCAGCCAUCUGGCCUAAUACUGACACUGAGGUGCGAAAGCAUGGGGAGCAAACAGGAUUAGAUACCCUGGUAGUCCAUGCCGUAAACGAUGUCUACUAGCCGUUGGGGGAUUUGAUCCUUUAGUGGCGCAGCUAACGCGAUAAGUAGACCGCCUGGGGAGUACGGUCGCAAGACUAAAACUCAAAUGAAUUGACGGGGGCCCGCACAAGCGGUGGAGCAUGUGGUUUAAUUCGAUGCAACGCGAAGAACCUUACCUGGCCUUGACAUAGUAGAAACUUUCCAGAGAUGGAUUGGUGCCUUCGGGAAUCUACAUACAGGUGCUGCAUGGCUGUCGUCAGCUCGUGUCGUGAGAUGUUGGGUUAAGUCCCGCAACGAGCGCAACCCUUUUCCUUACUUGCCAGCAUUUCGGAUGGGAACUUUAAGGAUACUGCCAGUGACAAACUGGAGGAAGGCGGGGACGACGUCAAGUCAUCAUGGCCCUUACGGCCAGGGCUACACACGUGCUACAAUGGUCGGUACAAAGGGUUGCUACACAGCGAUGUGAUGCUAAUCUCAAAAAGCCGAUCGUAGUCCGGAUCGCAGUCUGCAACUCGACUGCGUGAAGUCGGAAUCGCUAGUAAUCGCGGAUCAGAAUGCCGCGGUGAAUACGUUCCCGGGCCUUGUACACACCGCCCGUCACACCAUGGGAG